UAGACUGAUUUUCUCACUCAUGUGCCUCUGU
rnacentral:piRNA from 1 species